rnacentral:rRNA from 1 species
CCUAAAGGCGAAAUGAAAGUGAAAGCAAGGCCUUGUGCCACCAAGGGAAGAUGGGUUAUGCAUUAAAAUAUAACCCCGCACUCCCGGGGCGUCUCAUUCUCAUUGCGAGAGGAGGCGCACCAAGAGCGUACAUGUUGGGACCCGAAAGAUGGUGAACUAUGCCUGGUUAGGAUGAAGUCAGGGGAAACCCUGAUGGAGGUCCGUAGCGAUUCUGACGUGCAAAUCGAUCGUCGAAACUGGGUAUAGGGGCGAAAGACUAAUCGAACCAUCUAGUAGCUGGUUCCCUCCGAAGUUUCCCUCAGGAUAGCUGGCACUCAUAAUGUUCUAAUGGACAAUAAAAGAGUCUCAUCUGGUAAAGCGAAUGAUUAGAGGCAUUGGGGUCGAAACGACCUCAACCUAUUCUCAAACUUUAAAUGGGUGAGAUCUCUGGCUUUCUUGAAGUCAAAUUUUUUGAAGCCAGAGCUUUUACGUUUAUGGAUCAGAGUGCCAAGUGG